GCAGAGUCUGGUCCAUGUUUUUGUGUAGCACACAGCUGAAUCGCACACUGAGAUGCUUGAUCUGCUCCUCAUCUCUCUUGCCGUGACAGAUGUCCGGGUGCCUGAUUGCUGCUUGCACUUGAUAUCUACAGGCCUCACAAUACUGCUCAGUUGGGGCCCAGGGCCUCCAGCGCCCCAGCAUCCUUGGUGUGUGGGCUGACUCCAGCCCGGCUUCCUGUUAUAGAAAUUCACGGAACCACGUUCCCCACACACACACAGACACACACACCCCUCAGCAGCUCUGCAGCCAUCUGUAGGUGAGUGAUUGUAUGUAUGUAUGUGUGCUGCUUGCUCACACAAUAGAGUCCACACGCAAGAACAAGAGUUGCCAAAGUGCAGAAUGAAAGGUGAACCGGUGGUGUAAUGUCACGACACACACAUGUGCAAGGUGCUGAACGCCCUCAAAAAUAGGAUUUUUUUUUUUUAAAGAAUUUUGUAACAUAAAACAUUCAAUGUGAAUUUUAAAAGUUUUAAAGUAAACAAUUAGUAUAGCACUGACAAUAACAGACAAGAAUGUCCUAAUCACCAC